GAGUCUCGCUCUGUUGCCUAGGCUGGAGUGCAGUGGUGCGAUCUGGGCUCACUGCAACCUCCGCCUCCCGGGUUCAAGCAAUUCUUCUGCCUCAGCCUUCUGAGUAGCUGGGAUUACAGGUGUGAACCACUACGCCCAGCUAAUUUUUUUUGUAUUUUUAGUAGAGAUGGGGUUUCACCAUGUUGGUCAGUUUGCUCUCGAACUCCAGACCUCAAAGGAUCCGCCCACCUCAGCCUCCCAAAGUGCUGGGAUUAUAGGUGUCAGCCACCGUGCCCAGCCCUAGUCUUCUUUUAAAAUAGCACAUAGAAGGACUUCAUAUAUGCUGGGAUAAAGACACAUGCUUCCAUCAAGUUCAGCAUCUGGAAAAGGUUCCCUCUCUUAGUUGACUGAAAUCCAUGAAGGAAAGAUUAGAGUUUGCCUUCCCUGCUGCCAUUGUAUCUGGAGUUGCCAUCUCCAGGUCCUAGUCGGUCCUCCAUCAUGUGAUGAGUGCAACACAGCAAGAUGAAUAGUCACACAUUAAAUGCAUUUUCAUCAGACUUUACAAGAUGACUGUCUUCCAAAGAUAAAAUAAGAGCUCUGAAAGUAAUGAACAAGGUGAGUGGAAAGGAUGACAGAAGAGGAGGAAGUGAGAAGAAAAGUGAGGGGGACAAAAGACUGUGCUCUCCUAGUCUACAGACGUGGCUGUAUUCCCUCUCCAUCUCUUCAAGUGCAUGCAAAUGAAAUUUCAUGUGAGCAAAUUUGUGUAUAUGUGUGUCAGUGUGAAUGAGGAAGAGAGAGAGAGGAAGGAUAUGUGUGUGAGUAUGUGAGUUUUUUUCAGAGAAAUCAGCUUUGAACUGUUCAGUUUACCCCAGAGCUUCCACUGUUCCCAGGAGCACCAACCCCAGCUCUGAACCUGGAGCUGGUGAGGAAGGCAGGCAGCUGUGCAUUAGGCUGCGGCGACUGCAGCUAUGGAAUGGACUGCAUUCUGCUCCAUCCUCUUAGUGAGGGGAUGCUGGUGAAAUGGGCUUCUUACUUGAUUCAGGAGAUUAGUAAACAUGCCCAGAAAAAGCAUUUUUCAAGAAUUCACUAUGAUCUCACUAAUUCACCAGUUACUGAUCAAUUAACAACAAACCAUUUAAAUGAAUGCAUAUAAAUAUGAUUAAAAAAUUUUUUUUGGCCAGGUGUGGUGGCUCACGCCUGUAAUCCCAGCACUUUGGGAGGCUAAGGCGGGUGGAUUAUGAGGUCAGGAUUUCAAGACCAGCCUGGCCAAGAUGGUGAAACCCCAUCUCUACUAAAAAAUACAAAAAAUUAGCCAGUGCAGUGGCAGGUGCCUGUAAUCCCAGCUACUCAGGAGGCUGAGGCAGGAGAAUUGCUUGAACUCGGAGGACGGAGGUUGUAGUGAGCCAAGAUCACACCACUGCACUCCAGCCUGGGUGACAGAGUGAGACUCCAUCUCAAAACAAAACAAAAAAAAACAUAUUUUUUUUGAGAGAGGAUCUCACUCUGUCCCCUAGGCUGGAGUGCAGUGGUGUGAUGUCAGUUCACUGCAACCUAAGCCUCCUGGGCUCAAGCCAUCCUCCCACCUCUAUAGGAUUGUUUAAUGUGUAUUUUAAAUCUUUUUACUUUCAGAUAUGGGAUGAUUUAAUCUAAGUGUGUGCCAUGAACUGCUUUGAGACCUUAAUAAUCAGUAACAGCAAUAAAAGGCAAAAGAGAAGCAACAAUAAAAACUAAAAUUCAAUCAAGGCUUACAUUGCAAGUCACUGUUCUAAGUGCUAAUGGCAUCAACCAUUUAGUACUCAUAAUCUUACAACCAAAAUUUAUUAUCCCAUUUUACAGAUGAGGAUAAUGAGGUGAGAUUUAACUAUAAAUUACUAACAUGAAAAUACAAUCUUUAAAAUUUCUAAAAAAUAGUUUAUGUUUUGAAAUAGCAAACAAUAUUUUUACCUUUAAAACAUAUUUACAAAUUUAAUGUCAGAAAAAGCAUUCUAGGAAAACUCAGUAGAAUUUAAUGUGAAAAUAUUGUGUGGAUCUCUUUAUGGCCUAUAAGCUUAAAACGACUUAAUACCUGCUCUUGAAGAGUACACUCCAACCUGGCUAUACUCAAACUUUUGUUCAAAAUGGAUUUUAAGAAUGUAGAUUUCUCCUUGUAGUAAAUAAGCUUAAUUCUGCUAGCCCAAGUCAACUCUUGGACUAUGUGAAAAUGCAAGUGGCUAGUAUUUGCAUGGAUAGACUCAAGUUACCUUGAGUUGGCUGGCCUCAACCAUGUGUAGAACUCACACUUUCUCCUUGCCUAUCCUUUUGCACUGCACCAGUAUCUGAGUUGAUCGUCUUUUCCAUUAGGGGUUUCUGCCAGUUCAUUGGACUUCUCAAGAAGUCAUUGUUCUGACAGGAUCCCAUAACACACCCCACAAGAAGGCUCAUGUUAGAACAAUGCAGGCUCAAAGAGCACUUCAAGAAAAAGAAGGGCUGGUCCGGAAUGAGAAUGGCGGUGGUUUGGCUAACCUAGUUUCCUCUCUUCUGAGAAAAAAAGAAAGAAAUUCAACUUUAUGGGUAGAAGGUCUUUUCCCAAAGCAAUUCCUGGAUGUUUGACAAAUUUUCUCAAUAAAAAAGAUUACUGAACGCAGAAAUACCAUUUAGGACAUAAAACGGAGGCCAAGGAAAAUAAACCAUUUAGUUUAUUUUCAGAAUCAUUAUUAAUUCCUCAGGGCCCAGUUAAGCAACAUUUUUAUAACAAUACAAUUUAAAGGCUAUUGCAUAAUAUUACAUUUUGAACUGACAGGGUAGUAAGUGCUUGCUUUUAUUGAAUGUUCCAUACAAUAUUUCUCUUAAAGUUCAGUGCUAUGCUGUAUAUUAGUUUAUUUUUUAAUGCCAAAAUCCUUCAUUUACAAAGAGUUUUUAAUAGAGGUAUAAUGGUGAGAAAUCAAUAUUAGUAUAAUAGACAGACAUGAAAAGGUAAUAUUCACUGUGUAAAUUUGCUAUGUGUUUAUUAAAAAUUUCACUGACGCGAAGUCAAUUCAAUUUGGAAAAUGUAUCCGUUGACUGCUCUCUACUAGGAAUAAGCUAAAUAUUGUAAAAAUAAUAAUAAUAAUAAUGCCCAUCCUCAAGGAUACUACUACUCUCUGUGAAAUAACAGAACCUGAGAUGGAGGGCUAGUCAUUGGGAACAAUGUUCUACUCUUACAGCAUUAAGUAAAUACGGGAUAUGAAGCAGAUGAUACAGGCUUUGAUUUUCUCAUCUGUAAAACAAGAAAAUUAAAUUUAACUUAGAAACGGUG
rnacentral:lncRNA from 1 species